CGGGGCGUAGCGCAGCCUGGUAGCGCGUCGGUUUUGGGUACCGAAGGCCGUGGGUUCGAAUCCCGCCGCCCCGACCA
rnacentral:tRNA from 1 species